UAGGUACAUUGUUAUUCUGUCUAAAGGACACUAUAUAAAUGUAAUCUAGGUACAUUGUUAUUCUGUCUAAAGGACACUAUAUAAAUGUAAUCUAGGUACAUUGUUAUUCUGUCUAAAGGACACUAUAUAAAUGUAAUCUAGGUACACUGUUAUUCUGUCUAAAGGACACUAUAUAAAUGUAAUCUAGGUACAUUGUUAUUCUGUCUAAAGGACACUAUAUAAAUGUAAUCUAGGUACAUUGUUAUUCUGUCUAAAGGACACUAUAUAAAUGUAAUCUAGGUACAUUGUUAUUCUGUCUAAAGGAUACUAUAUAAAUGUAAUCUAGGUACAUUGUUAUUCUGUCUAAAGGACACUAUAUAAAUGUAAUCUAGGUACACUGUUAUUCUGUCUAAAGGACACUAUAUAAAUGUAAUCUAGGUACAUUGUUAUUCUGU